GAACAUUAGCAGCACAUAUACUAAAAUUGGAACGAUACAGAGAAGAUUAGCAUGGCCCCUGCACAAGGAUGACACACAAAUUCGUGUCUGUCAAUAAAGACAA